rnacentral:rRNA from 1 species
GAUGAACGCUGGCGGCGUGCUUAACACAUGCAAGUCGAACGGUGAAGGCGGAGCUUGCUCUGCUGGAUCAGUGGCGAACGGGUGAGUAACACGUGAGCAAUCUGCCCCUGACUCUGGGAUAAGCGCUGGAAACGGCGUCUAAUACUGGAUACGAGCUGCGAAGGCAUCUUCAGCAGCUGGAAAGAACUUCGGUCAGGGAUGAGCUCGCGGCCUAUCAGCUUGUUGGUGAGGUAACGGCUCACCAAGGCGUCGACGGGUAGCCGGCCUGAGAGGGUGACCGGCCACGCUGGGACUGAGACACGGCCCAGACUCCUACGGGAGGCAGCAGUGGGGAAGAGUGCACAAUGGGCGAAAGCCUGGUGCAGCAACGCAGCGUGAGGGACGACGGCCUUCGGGUUGUAAACCUCUUUUAGCAGGGAAGAAGCGAAAGUGACGGUACCUGCAGAAAAAGCGCCGGCUAACUACGUG